rnacentral:tRNA from 1 species
GCGGAUAUGGCGGAAUUGGCAGACGCGCUAGUUUCAGGUAUUAGUGGGAAACCAUGCAGGUUCGAGUCCUGUUAUCCGCACCA